UGGGGAAUAUUGGACAAUGGGCGAAAGCCUGAUCCAGCAAUGCCGCGUGAGUGAUGAAGGCCUUAGGGUUGUAAAGCUCUUUUACCCGGGAAGAUAAUGACUUACCGGGAGAAUAAGCCCCGGCUAACUCCGUG
rnacentral:rRNA from 1 species